AAAAGAUUACACGACUGGCGGAGAUAUGUGGAAUUAACCACUAUGGGAGUGUAAUUAAAUAGACAAACAACUUCAACUAUAAAUUUAUUCAAGUCCAUAACUCGCAAAAACAUGAGAUUUUGGACAUGAGUAAAUUAAGUUUAUGUAAGAUUUGUCUAUAAAUGCCGACCGCCUGGGCAACUUGU
rnacentral:ncRNA from 1 species